UCAUCUUUGGAUUUCUUUAAUAGUCUAUGAUUGUGUUCAUUGUCUAUGGUACUGAAAAAGACGGCCAUGUUUUUUUGGCAUCUUGAGGGAGCUGGUUAUUUAAACAAGCAGUGUCAGUAAUUCAUUCAGUAUUUUAUUUAUCUACUGCCUCUUAUCACAUGGUGGCAGCGGUAAAAGUAAUAAAUGGAGAAAAAACAUAAAUCAGACAUGAAGGAGGCAGAGCAGGGUGGAAGAGGCCACCAAGCCAAGGUGACGCCACCCGGAAUUUUCAGUUUUGUGCCGGAAGAAUGGCCGAAGUAUAAAACCAGAUUUAUGAGGUACAUGAGUUUAACAGGUCAAAACAACAACGUCGACGAAGAAAAGAUAAAUUGCCUCAUUUAUUGCAUGGGAGAAAGGGCAGAAGACGUAAUAUUGCAGUUUGGGGAGGACGCCAUGUGCUACCUUAAGCUAUUGAAAAAAUUUGAUGAUUUUUUCGCUCCCAAACGAAAUGUAAUCUAUGAAAGAUUCAAAUUCAACGCCAGGGUGCAACUACAAGGCGAAAGGGUUGACGAAUUUGUCACUGAAAUACACCGACUUGCCGAGCACUGUGAAUACGGCGUUCUGAAGACUGAUCUUAUCAGAGAUAGAAUUGUCGUUGGUAUUGCAGAUAAAAGUCUAAGCGACAGGAUGCUACUCAAACCAGAUCUUACAUUAGAAGAAGCCAUACAAAUGGGAAGACAAUCUGAAAUACAGCAGGAAGAAACUAAGAAAAUGAGGGGUGAAGUGACAGAACUCAUGAAAAUUGAAAAAAGAAAAAAGACAGGAAACUGCUGGUUUUGUGGGAAGGAGCGACAUCCAAGAGAAAAAUGUCCCGCGGAAAAAGCAACUUGCUACAAUUGUAAACGUGUGGGACACUUUGCUAAAUUGUGUCGGUCUAAAGCAGUUAAAAUUAUAAAAGAGGAUUCAAAUGAGUAUGAGGAGCAGAUAUAAGUGCUAUACCAGAAAAUGUUGCAGUGAAGGCCAAACUACCGUUGGUGAAAUCAGGUGAUAGUGUAAAAGGGCCAGAUGGGACCAAAUUGAAUGUACUGGGAACGGUGCAACUGAAAUUACAAUAUAAGGACAGGAUAUAUGAAGGUAAAGUCUAUGUAAUCAAAGAUCUUAGUACAGCAAUAUUAGGCAGGCCAUCAAUUGAUAGUAUGAAUAUUCUAAAAGUUUGUGCUAUCUCAAAUUCAAGUCAGAUCAGUGACACACAUUCAAAUGUUUUAGUAGAAAAAGAAUUCCCAAAAAUCUUUGAUGAGUUAGGGGUUUUCAAAGAUGAGUUUCACAUAAAAUUAAUUAAUAAUCCUAAGUCAUAUGUCCAGGCAACACCUCGCAGUGUAUCAAUACCUCUUUUGCCCAAAGUUAAGGAAGAACUGGAUAGAUUGCAAAGAUUAGGUAUUAUUAGUCCAAUUGAGGAACCUACUGAUUUUGUGUCACCAAUUGUGGUAGUGCUCAAGAAUGAUAAAGUGAGAAUUUGCGGUGACUAUACACAAGUAAACAAAAAUAUUUUGAGGCCAGUUUAUCCAAUUCCUAAGGUACAAAAUACAUUAAGUAGACUGAAAGGUGCUAAUUAUUUCUCUAAAAUCGACGCUACUUCAGGAUUUCAUCAAAUUCGUCUGGAUGAGGAGUCUAAAAAGCUGACAACCAUUAUUACACCUUUUGGAAGGUAUAUAUACAACCGUUUACCAUUUGGACUUAAUUGCGCACCUGAAUAUUUCAGUAUGAAGUUCUCAAAUCUGCUGAAAGACCUAAACGUAGCAAUACAUGUCGAUGACAUUCUGAUUUUUGAACCUACUAAGGAAUCCCAUGAUCAGGUACUUAGAGAAGUUUUAAAAAGAUUGCAUAAUGAAGGGAUAACAAUUAAUAAAAGUAAAUGUGUGUUUGGGGUAAAGGAGGUAAGUUAUUUGGGACACAUUGUUAACAAAGAAGGAAUAAAAGUAGAUCCAGACCGAAUCAAAGCCAUUAGUGAAUUUAAAAAUCCGUCUAAUAAAAAAGAAUUACUACAAUUUUUAGGCAUGGUUAAUUUUGUAGGAAGGUACAUUCAAAAUAAGUCUCAAAUCCUUGCACCAUUACAUGAGCUUUUAAAAGAAGACCGGCUAUUUAUUUGGGGUUACCUUCAGAGACAAGCAUUCCAAACUAUAAAGGACAAUUUACUAAGGUCACCCACUCUAGCACAUUUUGAUCCGGAAAUGAAAAUAAUUAUUUCAGCAGAUAGUAGUUCUUUUGGGCUAGGAGCAGUUUUAUUACAAGAAGACAAAAAAGGCCAAAGAUCAGUAGUGAUGUAUGCUAGUAGAACAUUAACAGAAUCCGAAAAGCAUUAUGCACAAAUAGAAAAGGAAUGCUUGGCUCUGACAUGGUCAGCUGAGAAAUUUAGAGAUUAUAUAUUAGGUAUUCCUAUUAUACUAGAAACUGACCACAAACCUUUGCUGCAAAUAUUGCAAACAAAACCAUUUGAUGACCUUAGUCCGCGACUCUUAAGAUUUAGAUUAAGGUUGACUCGUUUUGACUAUGAAGUAAAGUAUAUCCCUGGGAAAGAAUUGGUAGUAGCAGAUGCCCUGUCCAGACAGCCACUGCCAAUUUAUCUUAGUUCAGAUAAGGAAAAGGAGUUACAAUUCAAUAUCAAUUCACUUGUCAGUGAAACUGUGUCAGAGAACAUUCUAUACAAAAUAAAAUCCAGUCAGAGAAACUGUAACAUAUGCACUCAAAUUAUAGACUUUACAGUUCAUGGGUGGCCUGCAAAACAUCUGUUAGGUAAUUUGAAACCAUAUUAUCAGUAUCGGGACAACUUCUCAGUGGAAGGGGAAUUUCUUUUGUUUAAUUCAAGAAUUGUAAUACCUGACAACAUGCAACAAGAAAUCUUAGAUAGAAUUCAUGAAGGACAUUUAGGAAUUACAAGGUGUAGGGAGCGUGCAAAACAGUCAGUUUGGUGGUUAGGUCUAUCAAAACAAAUUGAGGAAAAAGUUAAGACUUGUUCAAACUGUAUAGAAACAUCACAAAAUUAUAAAGAGACCAUGGUACUAGACCCACCACCAGAUAGACCCUGGCAGAAAAUAGGAAUUGACUUAUUUAAAUUUUCAAACCAUUGGUAUUUAGUUGCAGUUGACUAUUACUCUAGAUAUCUGGAAAUAUUUAAACUACAUGAUUUGACUGAAGACUGUGUAAUAGUUAAAUGCAAAGAAAUGUUUUCUAGGUAUGGAAUUCCAGAGGUAGUAAGGUCAGAUUGUGGUACACAAUUUAGAACAAAGUUUAAUAAUUUUGCCAAAGAGUAUGGGUUUCAGUCUAUAACUAGUAGUCCCUACUAUGCACAAAGUAACGGUCUAGCCGAAUCCGGAGUAAAGAUUGCAAAGUCUCUUCUAACAAAAAAUAAGGAUAUUUAUCUAGCUUUACUAAUCUAUCGAAAUACCCCUUCUGAGAUAGGUUAUAGUCCAGCAGAAUUAAUGUUUAACCGAAAACUUAGAGAUAACCUUCCUAUUAUAUCUAGUAAACUUGAUAACCCAGUAGUCUUAGGUCAAGAAUUCAAACAAAAGAUGUUGGAAAAGAAACAUAGAAAUGGGUGUUAUUACAAUAAGAGACAUAGAGCAAGGGACCUGCCAGAACUGAAUACUAAUGAUAGAGUGUGGGUUACUGAUUUGAAAAUAUAUGGAACAGUUGCAUCAAAAUGUAAGGAACCUAGAUCAUAUAUAAUUAAUACUGAAAGAGGGAAAUUUAGAAGAAAUAGAUGGCAUUUGAAGUUGGCACCUACUGAAACUAUUUCACCAACGGUAGGAGGGUAUGUCACAAAUGAAAAUGUAAUUUUAGAUGAGGUGCAUUGUAAGGGUUCUGCUGAUAUUACAAAUCCUGUUGAGGAUCAGAUUGUUGAUUCUGCAGAAUCCAUUGAAGUUAAUCCUUCUAAUUCUAAUGUUAGUAGCUCGGAGGAAACUGGAUUUGAACAAAAUAAUACCAGACUUAAAAGAUCUGUAAAGCGUCCUGCUUAUCUAAAUGACUAUAUGUGUUACUAGGGUAACUUAACUAAAAUAGAAAUAAUUGAUGUAAACCUCUACCUAAACUUGGUUUCAGCAGUGUAACAAAUCACUGAACCCAAGUAUUUAUUUACGUAGGGCUGAAACCAAGUAACUAGGCAAUACAAUUAUUUAAGUACAUAGAAUGUAAUAGCUAUGUUAUGAAACUUAAAAAUAGUGGUUAAUGUUGCUGUUUAACCUAAGUUUAUUGUAACAAAACAUGAAAGUAUUAUUUUGUGUUGGUGUUAUGUAUGUUGCUGUUUAACAUAAAUGUAUACUGUAACAAAACAGAAGUAUUAGUUGUGUACUUAUAUUAACUUAAAAUUAGCUGCAUAAUUUAUUGUCAUUAGCCGUAAUACUUGUGUUAAUGUAUUAAGUUUAUCUUAGCAUUUUUGUUUCUAAAAAGGGGAGAUGUUGUAUCAUCUUUGGAUUUCUUUAAUAGUCUAUGAUUGUGUUCAUUGUCUAUGGUACUGAAAAAGACGGCCAUGUUUUUUUGGCAUCUUGAGGGAGCUGGUUAUUAAACAAGCAGUGUCAGUAAUUCA